UUCGUAGGCGGUGCGGCAAGUUGGGAGUGAAAUCUCUGGGCUUAACCCAGAGGCUGCUUCCAAAACUGCCGUGCUCGAGUGCGAGAGAGGUCAGUGGAAUUGCAGGUGUAGCGGUGAAAUGCGUAGAUAUCUGCAGGAACACCCGUGGCGAAGGCGGCUGACUGGAUCGCAACUGACGCUGAGGAACGAAAGCUAGGGGAGCAAACA
rnacentral:rRNA from 1 species